UGGGGAAUCUUGGACAAUGGGGGCAACCCUGAUCCAGCCAUGCCGCGUGAGUGAUGAAGGCCUUAGGGUCGUAAAGCUCUUUCGCCUGUGAAGAUAAUGACGGUAGCAGGUAAAGAAACCCCGGCUAACUCCGUGCCAGCAGCCGCGGUAAUACGGAGGGGGCUAGCGUUGUUCGGAAUUACUGGGCGUAAAGGGCGUGUAGGCGGCCAAUUAAGUCAGAGGUGAAAUCCCCGAGCUCAACUUGGGAACUGCCUUUGAUACUGGUUGGCUAGAGUUCGGGAGAGGGUAGUGGAAUUCCCAGUGUAGAGGUGAAAUUCGUAGAUAUUUGGAGGAACACCAGUGGCGAAGGCGGCUCACUGGCUCGAUACUGACGCUGAGGUGCGAAAGUGUGGGGAGCAAACAGGAUUAGAUACCCUGGUAGUCCACACCGUAAACGAUGAAUGCCAGUCGUCGGGUAGCAUGCUAUUCGGUGACACACCUAACGGAUUAAGCAUUCCGCCUGGGGAGUACGGUCGCAGAUU
rnacentral:rRNA from 1 species